AGACGGAGGGGGCUAGCGUUGUUCGGAAUUACUGGGCGUAAAGCGCGCGUAGGCGGUUAGAUAAGUCUGAUGUGAAAGCCCUGGGCUUAACCUGGGAAUGGCAUUGGAUACUGUUUGACUAGAGUGCAGGAGAGGAGAGUGGAAUUCUCGGUGUAGCGGUGAAAUGCGUAGAUAUCGGGAGGAACACCAGUGGCGAAGGCGGCUCUCUGGACUGACACUGACGCUGAGGUGCGAAAGCGCGGGUAGCAAACAGGAUUAGAAACCCCAGUAGUCC
rnacentral:rRNA from 1 species